UUGUUGGUUAAUAAUGUUAUGUGUGAAAUCAAUAUGCCAAAAUUAACUUUUCAUAGCGCACAUAACAUAACACUUUAGUUGUAAGCUCUAUUAAAUAUUACACAUGCAAUAUAACAAAGCGCUUAUAUUAUAAGCUAUUAAAUAUUACACAUACAAUAUGUUAUAGAGCUUAUAAUGUAAGUGCUAUUAAAGGUGACACUUCAGAGCGCUAUUUUUCAUAGCGCUCUUUGUGUAAGCGUUAUUAAAAUUAAAGCGCGUCAGUACUUAAAUGUUGUUUUUUUCAAUACAUAUAGCGCUUAAAACAUAGCAUUAUUAAAUGUAACACUUAUAUUUUUCAUAGUGCUCUUUUUUUUAUAUGCGCUAUUAACAUUAACACACCUCAACUUUUCUUUCUCUCUUUGUGCUAACUGAAGCUCUAUUGUAUUGAUUAAAUCCUUGUUUUUUCUCAAAACAAAGAUACCAACUGUCUCAAUCAGAAACCCAGUGAACUCAAACUCGAUUGCCUCUACCGUUUCAAACUCGAUCGCCUCCACGGUAUUCAGAAUCGAUUACCUCAAUCGUUCACACAUUCAAAGUCAUCAAUCGUCCUAAAACGUCCAAACUUGAUCACCUCUUUCAACCUAAUUUUUUAUGUCAUCAGUCGUCGUCAACUUGUUCGCCUCAACCGUCAUCAAUUGUUCGUAUUGCUGGGACAAUCUCAGAUUUCUUUCACAUGCAUGUCUGAAUGUUGUAGGACGAAUGGGGCUGAUUGCAAAAUGUGUGAUGCGAUAUAAGAAGAAAUCAACAACUCCAACCGAAGUUUUUAUGGUAUUUUCCAAUAAUACCAAGAUUUAGAUGCAUGUAUCGUAAUGUGAAAGAUGCCAAACACUUAAGAUGAUAUGCCGACGAAAGGAUUAUUGAUGGAAUGCUCUUGAAAAUUCCCCUCAAUGGGUGAAAAUUGAUAAUGAUUACCCUGACUUUGGCCAAGAAACUUACGUCUUGCAAUGUUUACUGACAGAAUAAACCUGCAUGGUAUCCAAAGAAGUUUUCAUAGUACUGAUUCGGUGAUUAUGCUAAUUUAUAACCUACCUCCCUAGUUAUGUAUGAAGCGCAAGUUUAUGAUGUGAUCUUUGCUAAUUUUUAGGCCCGAACAACUAGGAAAUGAUAUCGACAUAUAUCGAGCUCCAUUAAUUGAAGACUUAAAGUUUAUGUGGGAGGCAAGUGUAGAGGUAUAUGAUGGGUAUAGAAAAGAAUUCUUCAAAUUGAGAGCAA